GACGAACGCUGGCGGCGUGCUUAACACAUGCAAGUCGAACGAUGAAGCCUAGCUUGCUAUGUGGAUUAGUGGCGAACGGGUGAGUAAUACGUGAGUAACCUACCUUUAACUCUGGGAUAAGCCUGGGAAACUGGGUCUAAUACCGGAUACGACCAAUCUCCGCAUGGGGUGUUGGUGGAAAGCGUUAUGUAGUGGUUAUAGAUGGGCUCACGGCCUAUCAGCUUGUUGGUGAGGUAACGGCUCAGCAAGGCGACGACGGGUAGCCGGCCUGCGAGGGUGACCGGCCACACUGGGACUGAGACACGGCCCAGACUCCUACGGGAGGCAGCAGUGGGGAAUAUUGCACAAUGGGCGCAAGCCUGAUGCAGCGACGCCGCGUGAGGGAUGACGGCCUUCGGGUUGUAAACCUCUGUUAGCAGGGAAGAAGAGAAAUUGACGGUACCUGCAGAGAAAGCGCCGGCUAACUACGUG
rnacentral:rRNA from 1 species